rnacentral:rRNA from 1 species
CACGCAGGGUGCGAGCGUUGUCCGGAAUUAUUGGGCGUAAAGAGCUCGUAGGCGGUGUGUCGCGUCGGCCGUGAAAACCUGCAGCUUAACUGUGGGCUUGCGGUCGAUACGGGCAUCACUGGAGUUCGGCAGGGGAGACUGGAAUUCCUGGUGUAGCGGUGAAAUGCGCAGAUAUCAGGAGGAACACCGGUGGCGAAGGCGGUUCUCUGGGCCUGUACUGACGCUGAGGAGCGAAAGCGUGGGGAGCGAACAGG